ACGAAAUUUUGGGGUAUUAACAAAAAAAAAAAAAAAAAAAAAAAAAAACGAAAUUUUGGGGUCAAUUUCAGUACUUCUUCGGGCCAUAUUCUGCUACCUAAUUAUACGAAUCCCCAUACACAGCCUCCGUGGGGAGCUUCCCAAAAUAAUGGCGUCGGAGAGGCGGUGCCACUACGAGGUGCUGGGUCUCCAACGAGACUGCACAACCGACGAAAUCCGCUCGGCUUACAAGAAGCUGGCUCUCCAGCGCCACCCAGACAAGCUCGUCAAGUCGGGCUUGUCCCAGGCCGAAGCCACGGCUCAGUUCCAAGAGCUAUCCCAAGCCUAUGAGAUCCUCUCCGAUCCCAAAGAGCGCGCGUGGUACGACUCGCACCGCUCGCAGAUCCUCUUCGCCGAUGUCAACUCGGCCAACUCGGUCCCCGACUCGGUCAUCCCCAACCUCUUCUCUUUCUUCUCCAACACCGUCUUUUCCGGGUACUCGGACUCGGGUCGCGGUUUCUACAGGGUCUAUUCGGAUGUAUUCAACAAGAUAUACGCCACGGAGGUCAGCUUCGCCGAUAGGCUAGGGUUAGGUUCGGGCUCUGUUCGUGAAGCUCCGGCUAUGGGGAAUUUGGAGAGCCCGUACGCUCAGGUGACGGCGUUUUACGGUUACUGGUUAGGGUUUACGACCGUGAUGGAUUUUUGCUGGGUGGACCAGUACGACGCCAUGGCCGGCCCGAACCGGAAAUCGAGAAGAGUAAUGGAGGAAGAGAACAAGAAGCUUAGAAAGAAAGCGAGGAGAGAGUACAACGAGACGGUUCGUGGGUUGGCUGAGUUCGUGAAGAAGAGGGACAAAAGGGUAAUUGAUAUGACUGUGAAGAAGAAUUUGGAGAUGGAGAAGAAGAGGGAAGAAGAGAGGGAGAGGAAGAGGAGGUUGGAGAAGGAGAGAUUGGAGAGAGUUAUGGCUUAUGAGGAGCCUGAAUGGGCUAAGCUAGCUGAGGAGGAAGAUGAGGCUGAUAAUGGGUUUGAUGAAGUUGAGGAGGAGAAGAAGAAUGUAGGGAAGGAAUUGUAUUGUGUGGUGUGUGGGAAGAAGUUUAAGAGUGAUAAGCAAUGGAAGAAUCACGAGCAGUCGAAGAAGCACCGCGAAAAGGUGGCAGAGUUUAGGGAGUCAAUUGGGAAUGAUGAAGAAUUUGAAGAUGUUGAGGAUGGAGAAGAUGAAGGAAGAGCUGGGAUGGAUGAUGGGGUUGAGUUGGUUGAUGAUUUAAGGGACCAAAUUCGUUAUGGUAUACAGAUUGGGGAGGAGGAAGAGAUUGAAGGGAGUGAUGAGAAUGGGUUUCAUGAUGUUGAUGAUGGAAAUGAGAUGGAAAAGGUCGGUGAAGCAACUGGUUCCAAUAUUGAAGAAGGAGAGGAUAAUGAUGAUGAUGACGAAAUGGGUGUUCUCGAAGCAAUGAUUUCUGGACGAAGGAAUAGGAAAAAUGGGAAUGGGCCAAAUGAACACUCCUCGAUCAAUGCGCAUAUUGAGAAUGAUAGUGAUGAGGAUUACAAUAUCCGGAAAAGCUCGAGAAGAAAGGGUGGUACAAGGAAAGAUAAGAAUAAGAAAAAUGGUGGAGAUAAUCAAAAGGAUGACAUGAAUGGAAUUAGUAUUGAUCAUAAUAAGGAGUUGAAUGAAGAUGAUGAUAUUUCAUUCAUAGGAGAGACUUCUCAUUUUGUUGGAGAAAAUGAAAAUAAUGGUAAGGAGGAUGAUUCUUUUGCAAAAAAUAAGAUUUCAAAGCAACCUGUUGACAAAAAGGGGACUACAAAGAAAGACACUAACACAAAAUCAAAGAACUCCAAAGGAAAGAAAGCAAAGGCAUCAUCGAAACAUUUGAGCAAUACAUGCGAGGCAUGUGGAGAAGAGUUUGAGUCAAGGAAUAAAUUACAUCAGCAUUUGAGUAACACUGGACAUGCUACAUUGAAGUAUCGAUGAGAAGAAAAGGUUCAAGCUUUCUGGAUGAUGUAUUGAAAGGCUUGGUGUAAGACCAUCAAUUUAAACAUGAGUAGAAGAUCAGACACAGAAUUCACAAGGACUGUCAAACAAGCUGCAUUACCGAACUUGUUGACCAUAACUCACAAGGACUGUCAGAAAAGCUGUAUUACCGAACUUGUUGACUAUAACUGAAACGGCAUGUUUAACUGAUUACCGUUUUGAAUUAGUUGUAAAUAAGGUACAAAGGGCGUGGAACUUAGAAGGGCUUAGGAAAGAGUAAGAUUUCAUAGUAAAGCCCUUCGUUGUUCCCAUAAAGUUCUGCUGUGAAAGCCAAGAAUGAUUUGCGUCCUUCAGUACCAAAGUAGUAUUGCAGUGGAGGAUAUACAAACAAAUAUACAUGGAUGAAAAUUUCAAUCACAAUGGUUUAGUUGCAGCUUCUUGAAUAUAGGCGAUUGCCUCCUCUUCAGAAAGCUGUUUUCCUUCUACCAGACCUCUAAGUAAGA